rnacentral:rRNA from 1 species
AUUGAACGCUGGCGGCAGGCCUAACACAUGCAAGUCGACCGAGUGGCGGACGGGUGAGUAAUGUCUGGGAAACUGCCUGUUGGAGGGGGAUAACUCCUGGAAACGGUAGCUCAUACCGCAUACCAUCGGAUGAGCCCAAAUGGGAUUAGCUAGUAGGUGGGGUAACGGCUCCCCUAGGCCACGAUCCCUAGCUGGUCUGAGAGGAUGACCAGCCACACUGGAACUGAGACACGGUCCAGAGGCCUACGGGAGGCAGCAGUGGGGAAUAUUGCACAAUGGGCGCAAGCCUGAGGCAGCCAUGCAGCGUGUAUGAAGAAGUCCUUCGGGUUGUAAAGUACUUUCAGCGGGGAGGCGUUACCCGCAGAAGAAGCACCGGCGAACUCCGUGCCAGCAGCCGCGGUAAUAC